UCCGGCGCGUGCGCCAUUCGAAAAGGCGCGACGUCUUCUUCCAGAAGGCUCCGAGGCUCCGAGCCACACGUCGGCUCCUCCCGUCUCCUCCGCCUCCGCGCGCGCCCCCGCCGUCUCUCUCUCUCUCUCUCUCUCUCGCGCGCGCGCGCGCCGCCGCCGGACACGACGGCUCUCCAAUUCGACUAAUCGGCUCUGUUCCUGCCGGAUCGAGUUUGGCUAGUACAAUCACAACAAGGAUUGCACGGGUUGUGCCGCGAAUGGUGCACGGACGGAGGAUAUUAGGUUACGAUCGCAAGUUUGAUAUGGCAUCUUGGUUUAUCUUGGAAGGAUAAGGUGGAUUAGACACUCUUGACGGUAACAAUGCGGUCAAUUAGAAGUAACUUCAGAUGAAUGGCUUUGUAUUUUAGUCUCAAAUCAACUUAUCUUUGACAUGGAUUGGACUGACACAUCACCAACUGGGAUAAGAAGACUAGUGAGACUUAGUCCUUUUUUUCUUACUUUUUUUUAUUCUCAGCCAACAGUUAAUCUGGAAGCACAUUGAUUCAGAUGAGACGUUAUAAAGUCUAGUAUUAUGGAAAUUUCCUUGAUGUACGAGUUUUACAGGGUCAUUUUCGUUGUUAAAGGUUGUCUCUUAUCACCAUGAGCUAUCAAAGGUAUCCUUGAUGCACAAUUAUAAAGUUUGAGUAAAGUGGUGGUGAUAACAGAGUGACACGAAAGAUCUUCACUAAAACCAAACACAGCUGUUUUCUCUCUCAAUCAUCUGCAUUUCCUUUUGUCCUUUUCUGAAGUAAGGUAACAUCAAGGGAUGGACGUAUUGUCGUUCAAAUGUUGAGAAGCACACAAACUCCAUAGAUAUUGAUAUACACAGAGUCUGAAGAAAAAUGAAAGGAAAGCUCCAUGUGAUGGCAGAUAAAAGAUGGUGGUUCAGAUACUUAUUUUGGAGUAGGUGGUUGAAAUGGUAAAUAGUAUGUACAACUCAACUGUGCUUUGUAACUAGGAAACUAUUUCCUUGAUUUUUCAAAUUAGUAUAUUCGUCUGGCUACAUGCCUAACAAGUACUACCUGUGUCCUCGUCAUUCUUUGUACUAGAAACAAGAUGGCUUUGUGAGAGAAUGAACUUGAAAUCAGCUUAUUGCAACAUGGCUGUUCAGACUUCAGAGAGUAGAGUUUGUGGACAUGUGCAUCAGGUUGCCAGCUGGCACUCCUGAGAUGAGAUGCUAGUUACAAGUGAAAUAACAGGCAGUGUUAUUUGCUAAUCAAGGCUCUACCCUCAUGCAACUUUCUGCACUUUUUUUUAACGGAAAAUGCAUACAGCCCAACAUGAGUUCCUCGGGA